CCCUCGCUCAACAAAUCGCUAUUCGAAGCUUUCAAACAGAGACGCUCUGCCCCUUGGGCAGCGCGUCUCACAAGGCUACACAAAAACUUUGCUUUGGGUGAAAGUCCCCGGACGUCUCCAUUCUGGAGCCUGCGGAAACGCGCCGCCAUAGAAGCACUGCGGCUGACCUUUUGCACCUUGGCCCUUUCGUCAUGGACAACCUGCCCUGCCUAUCGCUGCAUCCGCUGUGCCUACUUCCUUCUCUCCAAGAAACCAAUCCAAGCUUUGCGUCUCUUGAACCAUAUGGACGAAGAUAUGAGUCCGCGUCGGGAUGGUGCAAGCGGGGAUCUUCUUGUCGCGGAAGCCAGUAGAAGCUGUGGAAUGAUGGGUGGCCGUGUGGUGGCAUGUCUUGCGGUAUCGGGUGCUGAGGAUUUGUUGUCGAGAUUGAUAGGUAUGCGAUUGCUUUGGUUGCUCUUGCGCCAAGGUUACUCGAUGGGGCUUAUUCUUGAGGCGAGG
rnacentral:RNase_MRP_RNA from 2 species